rnacentral:rRNA from 1 species
UAAGGAAUAUUGGUCAAUGGACGCAAGUCUGAACCAGCCAUGCCGCGUGAAGGAUGAAGGUCCUCUGGAUUGUAAACUUCUUUUAUCUGGGACGAAAACGGGAUUUUUAUCUCAAUUGACGGUACCAGAGGAAUAAGCACCGGCUAACUCCGUGCCAGCAGCCGCGGUAAUACGGAGGGUGCGAGCGUUAUCCGGAUUUACUGGGUUUAAAGGGUGCGUAGGUGGGCUUAUAAGUCAGUGGUGAAAUCUCCGAGCUCAACUUGGAAACUGCCGUUGAUACUAUAGGUCUUGAAUUAUCUGGAGGUAAGCGGAAUAUGUCUUGUAGCGGUGAAAUGCUUAGAUAUGACAUAGAACACCAAUUGCGAAGGCAGCUUACUACAUAUAAAUUGACGCUGAGGCACGAAAGCGUGGGGAUCAAACA